rnacentral:sRNA from 1 species
AUAUUUAUAUGUAUAAAUGGUAUAGAAAAAUUCAAAAUUUAAAAUAUCUAAAUGGGUGCACUUUCUUUAAGCCCCUACUAUUCAUAAUAAAGUUUUGACAACAUUUUUGCGCAUUAUUAACUUAAAGCUUAUUAAGAAUUCCCUUUUAAGUCAUCUACAAACGAAAUUCAUCAAAAGACCAAAAAAGUAACGCAAUCUAAAGAGCAUUUGCCAUAACUCCGACUGACAGAUGGCUCCUUGCCGCUUCCUGGCAGCUCCUCUCCCUCCCCCUCAUCCACCCACUGCCCCUGCCACUCCCUCUCCUCCGCCCACUCGGAUACCUUCUUCUUGGGCAGCCUGCAGCAUAUCAAAUUAACACAGACACGAUGUCGAGGACCCGGGACUGUUUGCUGCCCAUUAACUGUAGCACUUUUGGGGCACGGCACCCCUUAGUUACUCCCCGUUAACCAAGCAACUUCAAUUUGUUGGUCAGGUUUUGUAAAUACACCGGAAAAAAGGGGUAGUAGUAUAUUUAACAUGCAACUAAUUUGCUGGUCCACUUAAAAUUAAUUAUAAAAAUAAUUAAAUAUAAAUUGAAGCUUAGCAAGACAUGUUAACAUACUGUAUGUUUAUAUUUUAAAAAUAUUGAAAUUUAUUUAAUUUUUUUGUCAGUUUUUAAAUAUUAGAUGGAAGAGUAUAAAGUGGGACAUUGAAUUCCCAUUCCCCUGUAUUUCCGUGUAUUUACGUGGCUUUUUAAUGAGCAUCGUGGUCGCAUCGGGGAAACUUUGAGCCUGGAUCUCCGACCGACCGACUGGUGGCUUCACCUGGUGAUUCCGAGGCCGAGAGUCCCAGUCCUGGCCAGAGCAAAUUGCAGGUUCUCUUUCCCUUUUUCCCUUCGAGCCCUGGCCACAAAGUGUUGCGUUGCACUCAUAUUUUGCCGUGUGCACCUUAAUUAUAUGGCCGCCGACAGAAAUUCAAGUGAAAAAUGUUUCUCCGAUGAUGAAAACGCAGCGGCAGCCGCAGAAGCAGAAGCACAAGCAAAAUUGAGGGGAAAACGAAGGGCAGGAAAAUUGAAGAAGAAAAGGUAGCAGCACUGCUGAGUGGUCGAAACCUAAGCCUAUUCCGUGCCGCUGUUUAAGCCAUGAAAAUUUAAUGCCAGCUUACGACGAACAAUGCCCAUGGAAUGGAAUUCGAGGAAUUUUUAGGACCGCAUUUCCGCUUAGGCACCGAAACGCCCGCACCGCACCAAGUAUUAAUUAUGUACGCAUAAAAUAUCUUUUGAGACCCUUUGAAGCGCUCUAAAACCCUUUCGGGGCCGACAUCAAUGGGAUGCAAAUUAACUGUACAAACAUAAAUAACACUUGAAGUUCUCCGAAAAAGAAUGGAUAUAUAUAUCAGCAUCAGCGGACGGACCUCUCGGCAUUUGUCAAAGCAAUAAAAAUUGUUGGGCUCCUGUUUGAUAAGAGUUUUUUAUCAUCUUUGCUGCGAGGGUUUUGGGCCCAGUCCCUUCUGCAUCCCCUCAUUAAUUCAGCGGCACGCAGCAGUCCUUUUUGAAAUAUUCUCUCAUUACCCUAGAUACUUUUCUGCUGGCUUUUCCGCAUCCGUAUCUCAGCGUGCUCCAUAUCCGUAGCCGUAUCUCUAUCUCAACUUGUUGCUGGCGUUUUUUUUUCCCACACGUCGCACGGAGUCUUUAAUGAAUUGGAAUUGACAGCUUGUUGGCAUUUCAUAUGCACAUUGUACAGAAAUAAAUAUAUUUAUGUGGGCCUUGCUCGCGCUCUGUAUCACUGAGUACGCUCAUUUUUAAUGUAUCUGCAAGAUGCAUCAUCAAUUAUUCAAUAGACUGCACUGCAAUGCAGUCAAACGAAAACUUUACCCUCAGUCCCGACCGCUGGAAAAGUGAUUAAUUGGCGCUACAAAUUUAUGACGUGGUACGGCCGAUAGCGAGUUGAAUGUAUGAUAAAGCCCCCAAACGGAUAGGAGUCCGCCCUCCAUUGCUCCAUUGCUCCGCCCCCAAAGCGAUUAAAACUUUUCGUCAUUCGGACAAACUCCAACUUCGUAAAUACAUUAAAGUAUCCGCAUGUGCAUGUGUACAUUCAGUUUGUUUGUUGUUGUUUGUCCUGUCAUUAUGUUUAUUGUUAUGGUCGUCGCUUUGUGCAAUAAAUAUUAUAUAAAUCAUGGAAAUAAUUUAUAAAGCUAUAUUUACUCAAUACAACGGUUCGAACUCCUAACGAGGUUUCCAUAGAUAUUUCCUCUUAUUUGCGGUAAUGGGAAACUUGAUAUAUGACCUCUUGAAGGUUGGGGGACUAGUCUUUUGGUCAGAGUUCUUUAGAGGGUCUCUUGAUUUGGUGAUCUAGAAUAUUCCUCACUUUUGUAGGGCAUAGGAUAUACAUUUUAGAUAAGAUUAUUUCUUUAAAUAUUUAGGCUAACAUUAAUGUUGCCAAUAAUGCUGUCUAAUAACAUAGCAAUAAUGCGUAUACUUUCUCCUAAUUAACACUUCUUAAAGACUGGCUAAUGCACAACUUUCCCUCCUCUCUGGCUUUAUUUUUGAAAAGGCUUUAAGUACUGCUCGUGGGCAUUUUUCAUGUUGUAAUUUAACGCUUUUUUAUGCCGCUCUGACCACACCCACAACGGCAACAAUAACAACGAAACCCUCUUCACUUCCUCAAACAAUUUUCCCAGUUGGUCAGCGGUACCGAAACUCUUUACAGGCAAUGAGGGUCCAUUGUUAUUAUGAUUAUUUGUAAUGUAUGUUUAAGGGUAAGGGGGUGGGGGGACCCGUGGUUGGGGGAGCAGAGUUCGAUGCUUUUAGGUUCUAUUCAAGCCGAUUGUUUCCCUUUGGGCCCUGAGCUUGCCACCGGGAUUGUGUUAAUCAUGCUACAUUGCAGCCGUUCCACAAUAAUCAUAAUAAUCGAGAGUACAACAACAAUAACAAACAACAUCAUUAUUUUGGAUAUUUAUGAUAUUUAUGUAAGCUGUGCCAAUGGCCUGUAGAUGUAGAUGUGCGCCACGAUUGCUGUUGCCAUGGCUCUUGAUAAAAAUUUAAUGUAGCAUGUUAACAAGCGACCCGUUAUGAUUACCCCCAAUCCAGCCCCCUCCACACAAAAGCAAUCCAAUCCCGACAAUAACCCAAAAUGCGGGAAAGGGAAUGGUAGAAUGGUAUGAAAAAAAAACUAUUGUACAAUACAGCACAAUCCCAGCAAUUCCAAUACGAAAACUCUGCAGUCCAAUUUACCAUUUCGAUGAUGAUGAUGAUGAUGCCGACUCCACAGACGACUCAACUUAACCCCUGGCGAGCGGAGGAGGAACCGGAACGGCGGGCCAGAGUGGGUUAAGCAAUCCCAGUCCCAAUCCCAAAUCGAAAUGUAGGUGCGCCAGACCAAGAUGAAAAUAAAGCUGGAACCUGAUGCUGAAGCUCGAGUUGAAGCCAUCGUUCGGCGGAGGAAAUGAAUAAUCAAUAAUCACAAUUGGAAAUUUUCUAUAAAUUGGCAGAGGCCGGCAACAUAACAGUUUAAUUUUUGUCUGCGGCAGACGAUUGAAGGAAAUGGAACUUUUAUUUUAUUUCAUUUUAUUUUUGGUCCAAAGAGAGAGAGAGCGUGUGGAAAGAGCUGGUGAACUCAAAGCUAAGAGAAUUAUGAUUUUCCUUUGACAAGUUCCCUUUGAAGCAGCCUUUGAAGUCACAAAUUAUAUUAGUCUGGAUUUUUGGUUUCCCCUGAAAGGCCUUUUGAAAUCCUGUUGGAAAUGAACGUAUUUACGAGAUAGAAGUAUGGAAAGCUUAUGUCUGCGUGAAUUGAAGUCUUGGGAUUUUCGGAAUAAUUACCCAGCACCCGGGCAAACAAUUUCCAACAAAACUGCCAUCAUGCGGCUGCAAACCAUCCAUUAUCUAUUCUCGUUCUCAAAGCACUUAGCUUCUAUUGUUGCGGAGCUCUUGCAUUUUAAAGUGGACGGAGCGGAAAGGAAUGGAAUGGAAUGGACGGGACGGGAGGAUGCGGUUCCAGACCCGAAAAUAAAUCCCGUCCAGAGGAGCGGAGCACUUUCGCAUCAACAGCGUGGGAAUUAAUAUCAAUGUCGUUGUCGUUGAUGUUGGUGGCGGUGGUAAUGGUGGUGCAGCUUUCCAGCUUUUCCUGCUGCUAUCAGCUCUCAAUUUUCCGGCACAGCCACCAUGGCGUAUGUGUAAUGCCCAUUUUUUGUGUCGUUGCGCGCUACGGUUUAAACUCUCCUCUCGAUUUUUUCAUUCUUUUUUUUUUUGCUUUUUAUCAAUUAAAAGCCACUUCAAAAGCGGAAAGUGUCUGUGUGUGCCGUUGACACGCAUACACAAAAAGAGGCAGAGGCACCCAAAUACCCCCUCACACACACACACACACCCACAUUCUGUCAGAUUCACACACAGAUACUACGGGUAUCCAUAGUUCGCUUUGUUGUCAGUUGGCUUGGUUCGCUGGUUUUCUGUUUGUUAGUCGCCUUUUGUUUUAUCGCCCCCCCCCCUGAAAAACCGCCUGCCACUCCGCUUUAGUGAGAUAAAAUGGAAAAUCAUUAAAUACUGAUCAUUUCCAUAUAUGCGUGGACAUGGCACGUAGUCGUUAUAAUGGAAAAAGAUUGCCAAACUAGCCAAGAAUUUACUGCAAUAGAACUUGAGGGCUUUGUAUGGUAUUUUAAGUUGUUAAAGGAAUAAAUUAUAAUCGAAUGUUUAAUCUAAUAUAUAUUUUACAAAGCUUGAUUACUGAAUACAGCGGCGCUGAUAGUGAUAUUGCUCUCUCAAGAACUUCCUCCCCUUUCGCUAAAUAAAAUCCAGAGUUUCCACUAUUUUGGGGUCUUCCCCAAAAGUUUCCCAGGCCGCUUUCCUCAAAGCAGCCGGGCAGGCAGGCACAAGCCCAUGUGGUUGGAGGCACAUAUGUUUGGCGGCUUUUUCGCUUUGACAUAAUCAAAACCAAACCGAACCGAACCCAAAGCAAACCGAGCGCACAAAUGACGCGACUAUCCCCAAAAAAAAAAUACUCGAAAGCGGCAAAGAGCGGCGGUGGCGGCGUCCACUCAAAGCUAAUGACCGACAAAGCGUUUUGUAUUAUUUUCAAUUUCAUUUUCACUAUACACAAACUAUACCCCUGGCCCCCCAUAGCACCCAUAGCCCCCAUCGCCCGCAUAUUUCACCCUUCCCCCCUUGGUGACAACACUUUUCGCUUCGGCCUCGCCACGCUUCGCCUUGCCAUGCAUUAAAUAUUAUUAAGAUAAGGCGCGGGGGUUCGCUUAUCAAUCAGACGUCAGAGGUACCGACCCUCGUAUAUGUAUAUGUAUAAUUCGCAAAGAAGAAGAGCCAACACGGUUCUUCCAUCAGAGUUAUGAGUUAUUGGAACAAACCGGCAACAGAGUUUCCGUAAAUAUUUGCUUAGAACGUGUUUUCCUUUACGCCUUUUGAAAGUGCUAGUUGGUUUUCUUGUUUGGAAAGCAAUUUGUAUUAAUAAUUAUAAAAGUUUGGACUGUUCUUUGAUUUGCUUGCUGCAUAUAUUGAAACAUAUUUACAACUUUAAUAGGUUUAACGUUUUCUACGCUAAUUUGUAUCUUUAUCUCGUUGUAACGUUUCUGUUAAAGUUAUGACCCCCUAAUGAAAGCCUGCGCUUUGUUUUUUUAGGCCAAAGUUAUGGCCCGGUGGACGAAGGGCGGCCUAAGUGCGGCAUAAUUCCAAGAAGUGGCCCGAGAGCCAAUUGCUAAAUCAACACAAACAAAAGCCGAUGACCAAAACAAAAACCUCAAAAGUCAUUACAUAUAUCUUGAGUGGCCCCAACCCCCGGGGAAGACGAGGCCUGCAGAAAUGCAGAAGCUACGAGCUAACAGCUUUUUAUCUUUUGGCACAAGGCGGCACAGCAUUGUUUUGGUUCGGUUCGGCUGGGUUUGGCUUGGCUUGGCAGCCACCUUCGAAAAACCAGUCCAUUGCGGUGGACCAAAACCCAAAACAAGGCGAAAUACCCAUCGGAUCUGGACGAUCCGAACCGACCGAUCCAAACGCAACCGAACCGGCCAUAUAGGGUUCGCUGGCAUAUCGAAAGGCAGAGCGGCAACUUCCUGGCUAAUAUUACGAAAAUUGCUUAUACCAGGCUAUUGCUCCCUGGCCAUCCCCAUACCCAUACCCAUAACCAUGCCCCAAUCCAUUCCCCUCCGAUUCUCGAGUUCUGCGGAUCAGCCAAAAAGUGCCAAGUCAAAGUUGGUAGUGGCAGCUAGAGCUGGUGCCCGCUUCCCGGACCUCGGGGCUGCGAUUUGAGCCCGGUGCGGUUCGAGCCACGUUGCUUUCGGCCUGUCAUGAAGGCAAUGCCGACGCGAUUCGCCUGUUGCCUUCUACCGUAAUUCACAACAACCACAGCCAUAAUAAUAACAGCAACAGCACGGCAUCGAAGAAAAGCCAAGGCGAGCGUUGUGAAACCCGCAGAAGAUACAGUGGUCACAAGUGCACUACCAAAUGAGCAAUAAGCAUAAAUAAAUGUUAUAUGCAUGACCAAGAGAUUAUAAAAUACAAGUAUAUUUAGAUGAAAACCUUUUUAGUUAUAAUAAGCCAUAGGUACAAUCAUUUAAGAUGCUUCAUAUGCUCUACAAAAUAUGCGGAUCCCACCUGUAAGUAUGGCUUAAAUGCAUCUUUACAACGUGUCUAUUAAAUCCUAUUUAAUCUGCUUAAAAUCUUUCGAACCUCAAUGGCCUCUCAGUUUUGGGUUUCAUUUCUUCCCCGCCCGUAAGUGCCCACGAUAAUCCCCAUUCAAACACACGAUUUUCAACCACUGUGCACGACGGCCUCUGGUGCCGCGCCUCAAAGCAAAAAGCGCAUCUUUUGAACAGAGCGCAAAGCGCAGCUUGGCAGUCGCAGCAUCGGCGCGGUGUGUAUCUCAAAGAUACAAACAGAGUACGCUCGCUGGAUCGCUGGAUCGCCGUUCCUCGGUCCGUCCGUCUGUCUGAAAGUCCGUCCGUCCAUCUGUCCGUCUGUCGAUCGUCGGUUGGUCUCUAAACCGCUUUUGUGUAGCCGCUGCUGAGAUGUUUGGCAUAGUUGGCCUGGCCGCGGAACUGGUUGGAUGUGGAUGUGGAUGUAUCUUCGAGAUGGAGUUGGGGAGUUUCUCAGUUUUGGUCGGAGUUGCGGCUGCGGAUGGAUGGAGUGGGGGAUUGGGUACGGAAUGGGGAUGGGGAGCUUGCAACGACUCUGCCGCCUGCCGCUCAGUUAUUAUUAUUUUUGCUUGCGGCGGCGGCUCGACGACUUGCUGCCGCUGAUGUCCGAUGUUAUUGUUGUUGUUUUAUCAACGUGAGGGUUUUAAAAGGUUUUUGUGUAUGAGUCGGCAUCGGUAUCUUGGCCUCGCAGCAGCUGCUGCUUUCUACACAGGAAAUAUUUAAUAUUUCUUACAUUCGCUACAACCAACAUAUAUAUUGUGGUAAGUGUAAUUAUUCAUGGUAGACACUAAACAGUCUGUGUAACCACUUUUGACAUUUUGGACUUAUAUUAAUAAAAUAUUUUACUAAAUUACACUAUUUUUUUACUACCUUGGUCAUUACUUAAAUGAUCCAUUAUUAAUGUAAUGUCUUAGGAUUAAACUGUCACAUAACAAUGGAAUUUUUUCCCAGUGCAUCCA